CAGGCCCCGGGCUGGCAGUCAGGGCCACCACCAAUCUGUGGAACCAGCAGGACCAGGGUGAGGCUGGUGAGGCAAGUGAGCUGGCCUGGAUUCACCAGGUGCUCAGCUAUUGCUUCUGCUGGAUCCAGCCUAGAUAAACUGUUACUCCAUGGACACAGCUACACCUUUCCCUUGUAGAGAAAAUCCUAGAUGACAGCAAACUUGUUUCCUGACCACCUUGUCAUGUGUAGUCAUGGUCUGAUUGUCAAGUAAUGGCUGUCCAAGGAUGUUAAAUGCUACCAUGACAUCUCUGAAUUUUCUUGGCUGCUUGCUAACCAAGAAGCAUGCUCCAGCACUGCUUCUCUAGGCCAUGUCCAGCAUCAGUGGGACCAAGCAACAACAUGUGUAUACCCAGCCACACCAGUUCUUGUGCUUGUAACAAUGCUUUAGUAUGUUUUAAAGACAUGAAAAACUGUAUUUUUUUUUUUUUCAAAACCAAACUCAGGCCUGCCUUUCUUCCUUUCUUCCUUUUUUUCUGAUAUCUGUCAUUCUACCUAUCUAUCCAUUUUGGUA